rnacentral:snoRNA from 1 species
GCCACAUGAUGUACUUGUAGAUAAUUUGAGCACUCUGUGUGAUGCUGACUUGUAUCUAUCACCCAAUAACUGAUGGUU